UUUUUUUCUCAUCGUCUUCGUCUGUUUUCUGUUCACUUCCUUCCACAGACGAGAGACCAUGAAAGACGAUGGAGAAGUUUGAAGAUCAAGCCAUUAACUCUAGGAAAACUCUCAAGUAUGAGAACGAACAACACUCGCAGCAGGCUGUCUCUUGGAGUCGCUAUACUUGGACAAUUUUUUAUUUAAGUGGCCCUCCAUGCAUCAGCAUUCAUGCAGUUGCGUUGGAGAGGUACGGAAAUUAGCUGCUGCUGGUAGUCAUUGCACUGCACUGUCUGAUGUAUGUUCCUUGAAAGGUGUGUGAAUUAAUCCUUGCUGACAAUGUGACUUUUUAAAGCAAUGGUAGGAAAUAAAGUCAUAGCCCUAGAAUUACAGAGCAAGCUCGAGUACGAGGGUCGACAGAAACAUCAAAGGAGCACAGUAGAGUACCAUAACUCUGUAGAUGUUCUAGAAUGCAGAAGCAAGCUUGAAUUCAGGAUAAUCUUGAUAUGAAAAAAAUGAAAGGAAAGGAUAAUGUCGCCAUGAAUUGGAACCACAUCAAAAGCUAAUCAGCUACAGCAGUGGCAAAUUCUUGGGAUAACCAAAGAAAGCUGGAUGAAGAAGUCUACCUGUCCUAGAAAAGUAUAGUAUAUCAUAAUACGUUUUUAAGAUGUAAAAAAAAUGCAUACAGAUACGUUUUUGGUGUAAAUGGAUAUUUUUAUUAGAAAAGCUAUUGAUUUUAUUUUGAACGCAACGGCAGGCGUAUCGCGCAUGCGUGCUAUACUAGCAUACAUUAAUAAGACAUCCUAUGUUCAGAUUAUCACUAUAUAUCUUGAAACUUACUCGUGAAA